GAUGGAAGGUGGGACAGCUUCGGCUGGGCGCUCGUCGGCGAGCUCGUCGGCCGUCCGGCUCUCCCCUCCGCUUGCGGCCCUCUCGGCCUCUCCUCCACUUCCAGCGUCCUCGCCCCCCCCCUGUAGGUGCAUCCUCGACGUUCCUAACCUCAAGAAGUGCGGCGGCGGCAGAUCCGCGCGGGGCGUCGAGCGCAGCUGGAUCCGUGUGAAGGCCUCCACAGCCUCCGUGCAGACGCUCGAGGUCGACAAUGCCACCAAGAUGUACAGCUGCGAGCUGUCCACCCGUGUCCUCAGCCUCUUCGUCCCACUCUUGGUGUCUCCUCAACGAUCCUCAGCAGGGAGCGCAUCAUUGUCGUCAACUCCAAGCUGAUCCGAUGCGUCAAGAGAAUCCCUCAGCUCUUACCAAGAGGCUCUAGCUUCGAACCUGACUCUUUUAGUAGUUGGAGUGUUGCACGCAUGGAAUUGAUCGCAGAGAGGAAGCGAAGCAGCAACAGUUUGGGUUCAGAGAAGAAUAGGAGCAGCAGCUCAUUGGAGAAGGAGAGGUACAGCAGCCGAGGGCAGCAGCAGAGAGCAGAAUCGGCAGGUCAGGGGCGGCAGCAGAGGAUCAGAAGCAGAGAUGAGUUCGAUUCAAUUACCAUUGAUAAUGAUUCAGACUUGAGUUUGCACCACCCUUGUGUUACUAAAUAGUUUGUCCUUUUUCACUUGUGAUUAUGCACUAGAGAUUUGCAAGGA